UUACUUAAUUUGUGCAACGGGCAGCGGAGAGUGUUUAAAAAUCAUAUUCAGCCAUAUGUCCGAUAUAUUCGUUUGAAAGGGAGACGGACGCAAAACAGACGCUGCCCUGCGAAUAUUCGUCAGAAGCCAUUUUAAUUUGUA